CUCGGUGUAGCGCAGCUGGCAGCGCAGGUGCUUUGGGAGCAUCAGGUCGCAGGUUCGAUCCCUGCCACCGAGACCA
rnacentral:tRNA from 1 species